rnacentral:rRNA from 1 species
GAUGAACGCUGGCGGCGUGCCUAAUACAUGCAAGUCGAGCGAACGGACGAGAAGCUUGCUUCUCUGAUGUUAGCGGCGGACGGGUGAGUAGCACGUGGAUAACCUACCUAUAAGACUGGGAUAACUUCGGGAAACCGGAGCUAAUACCGGAUAAUAUUUUGAACCGCAUGGUUCAAAAGUAAAAGACGGUCUUGCUGUCACUUAUAGAUGGAUCCGCGCUGCAUUAGCUAGUUGGUAAGGUAACGGCUUACCAAGGCAACGAUGCAUAGCCGACCUGAGAGGGUGAUCGGUCACACUGGAACUGAGACACGGUCCAGACUCCUACGGGAGGCAGCAGUAGGGAAUCUUCCGCAAAGGGCGAAAGCCUGACGGAGCAACGCCGCGUGAGUGAUGAAGGUCUUCGGAUCGUAAAACUCUGUUAUUAGGGAAGAACAUAUGUGUAAGUAACUGUGCACAUCUUGACGGUACCUAAUCAGAAAGCCACGGCUAACUACGUG